rnacentral:rRNA from 1 species
GACGAACGCUGGCGGCGUGCUUAACACAUGCAAGUCGAACGGGCCUGUCUUCUUUUUUGGGGGGUGGGUUGAGUGGCGAACGGGUGAGUAUCACGUGAGUAACCUGCCCUUCGGUCCUGGAUAACCGCUUGAAAGGGCGGCUAAUACGGGGUGGUCCGGUUGGUCCGCAUGGGCUGGUCGGGAUAGAUUCACUGUUUUUGGUGUUUCGGCGGGGGAUGGGCUCGCGGCCUAUCAGCUUGUUGGUGGGGUGAUGGCCUACCAAGGCGGUGACGGGUAGCCGGCCUGAGAGGGUGGGCGGCCACACUGGGACUGAGAUACGGCCCAGACUCCUGCGGGAGGCAGCAGUGGGGGGUAUUGCACAAUGGGCGGAAGCCUGAUGCAGCGACGUCGCGUGAGGGAUGGAGGCCUUCGGGUUGUGAACCUCUGUUUCCGGUGGUGAAGGCCCUGUCCGUGUGGUGGGGCUGACGGUAGCCGGGGAUGAAGCGCCGGCUAACUACGUG